rnacentral:lncRNA from 1 species
CAUCAAACAACCAGAAUUUAAGAAUUAUUACAGAACAGAAUAAAGUGAGGGUCUGAAGAAUUAUCCAUAAAGCAUGAUCCUUUCAGAACGCUGGGCUUUAACUGAACACAUAGCUACCCAACUAAAGCAUCUUUUGCAGCUAGAAAUGGCCAUGUGAUCAAGUUUGGAGGAACUAGAGGGGUUGGCAAGUGAUGAGUGUGACUUUGGACCACCUCCUUGAAGAUGCAGCUGCUUCCCAGGACUUCUUUCCCACUUCCCACAGGCUGGAGAGUGGGCACCCAGGCUUUAGUCACAACCACCAAGAUGACCCUGUGGGGAGGUGACAGGGAGAGAAGAUGGACCUCUUGGAGAGGAGCAGCCACUUCUCCAGCUAUGGACUGCUGACAUAAGUACUAUUUAGAGAGAGGAAAAUAAAC